rnacentral:lncRNA from 1 species
GGCUAACGAUUUCUUUCCUGUGCACUGCCCUAAGGAUCUGUUCUGUUUCUCCAGGGCAUCUUGGCAAGAGACUUGAAGAUAUUUAAAAUCCCUAAUUAAAGCCAGGCUCACAAGGUCCCUGCUCCAGGCUAGAGCAGCCAGUGGAAGCACCAACACCAGUAUCACAAAGAGAUGAUGGAGUCAAAAUGACUGCUUUGGUUGGAGCUGCAUUUUUCUCUGAAGUCUGUAGAAGCUUGUUACCAUGUUAAAUGCCCAGCUUUCAUUAAAUCCACACCUGAAGGGUAAGUAAAUGAAUCCUGAAUUUCAUAUUUGAAGGUAUGUGUGCUUUU